rnacentral:lncRNA from 1 species
AAAAAAUAGUAAAUGGAUAAUCAUAUGUCAAAUUUAUAUCAACAGAUGAUCAAUAUUGUUGGAAGACUCAUACAUAGAUAUUCGAGCUUGUUUUGAUACUCUCGAGGAAUAGAAAAGCUUGCAAUAAUAAUAUGCAUCAUUAUGAUCAAUUGUAAUAGCAUUUUUCUUAGGAGUUAUCAAAACCAAAUUCUCAAAUUGACUGUUUUCCUCAUAAAAAACUUCACCAGCUCUAUUUGACUCUCCUCAAACUUGUAACUUAAUAUCUUGUUAAACUUAAUCUUGUAUGGAUCAUGAACAAAUAUAUCAAGUUUGUUCUUCUAGUGAAACUCCUAGUGAGGUGUGUGAAGGAAAUUGAAGUCAUUCAGCUGCAGUAAUAAUUUUAAUUUUAUCUUUGUAGUUAGUUAUUUAUCAUAAAGAAAACCAUCCAUAAAAAAUACAUUUACAAUAAAAUUAAUGGAAAAGGUCUUGGGUCCCAUAAGAUUAAGAAGAAUGGAAUGAAACUUAUAU